rnacentral:rRNA from 1 species
CCUACGGGAGGCAGCAGUGGGGAAUAUUGGACAAUGGGCGCAAGCCUGAUCCAGCCAUGCCGCGUGAGUGAUGAAGGCCCUAGGGUUGUAAAGCUCUUUCGACGGGGACGCGGUACCCGUAGAAGAAGCCCCGGCUAACUUCGUGCCAGCAGCCGCGGUAAUACGAAGGGGGCUAGCGUUGCUCGGAAUCACUGGGCGUAAAGGGCGCGUAGGCGGACUCUUAAGUCGGGGGUGAAAGCCCAGGGCUCAACCCUGGAACUGCCUUCGAUACUGAGAGUCUCGAGACCGGAAGAGGUAAGUGGAACUGCGAGUGUAGAGGUGAAAUUCGUAGAUAUUCGCAAGAACACCAGUGGCGAAGGCGGCUUACUGGUCCGGUCUGACGCUGAGGCGCGAAAGCGUGGGGAGCAAACAGGAUUAGAUACCCUUGUAGUC